UUUGUUCUAUAUGUAAUCCUGACAAACAGUUCUCUAAUUUUCACUUGGUGCUUUCACUGAAAUAAACUUUUCAGUUUGUUUGUUCUAUGAGCAGCGUGCAUCUUCUUUGUCCUCUCCACCAAGCAGCGUCGACUACGCCAUCUCCCCCCAGGUUCAUCUUUACUUGAAAUCUAAUUUGCAUGUUGGUUGGUGUUCUUCAAGAAUCAGGGUACUAAUUUGUGAUAUGAUUGGUGAAAGAGGUUGAAAAUGUUCCUGCAAGACUGGUUAAGACACCUUGCUGUAACCAUAUGUGUUGAGCUCACACAGAAGACCUGACAAGCUUU